CACGUGACUAUGUUCCGUCCUAAGUACUAGUGCCGUAGGUUAACUGAGAAGGAAAGUGAAGCUAGACUAUAGCUUCUCAGACCUGUAGUACUAGUACUUAA
rnacentral:pre_miRNA from 1 species